rnacentral:rRNA from 1 species
UUCCGGUUGAUCCUGCCGGACCCUACUGCUAUCGGGGUGGGACUAAGACAUGCGAGUCGAGCGUCUCUAGCUAUGUUGAGACGCGGCAGACGGCUCAGUAACACGUGGCUAACCUACCCUCAGGACAGGGACAAACCCGGGAAACUGGGGCUAAUACCCGAUAGGCGAGGAUGCCUGGAAUGGUUUCUCGCCCAAAGGACUUUGGGAACAUGCUUCCAUUGUCACCUGAGGAUGGGGCCGCGUCCGAUCAGGUUGUUGGUGAGGUAACGGCUCACCAAGCCUAUAACCGGUACGGGCCGUGAGAGCGGUAGCCCGGAGAUGGGUACUGAGACAAGGACCCAGGCCCUACGGGGCGCAGCAGUCGCGAAAACUCCGCGAUGCACGAAAGUGUGACGGGGCUACCCCGAGUGCUCUCCGCUGAGGAAAGCUUUUCCCUGGUGUAACUAGCCGGGGGAAUAAGGAGAGGGCAAGACUGGUGUCAGCCGCCGCGGUAAUACCAGCUCUCCGAGUGGUAGGGAUGUUUAUUGGGCUUAAAGCGUCCGUAGCCGGCUUAGCAAGUUUCCUGUUAAAUUCAGCGACCUAAUCGUUGAGCCGCGGGAAAUACUACUAGGCUAGGAGGCGGGAGAGGUCAACGGUACUUCCGGGGUAGGGGUGAAAUCCUAUAAUCCCGGGAGGACCACCAGUGGCGAAGGCUGUUGACUAGAACGCGCUCGACGGUGAGGGACGAAAGCUGGGGGAGCGAACCGGAUUAGAUACCCGGGUAGUCCCAGCUGUAAACGAUGCGAGCUAGGUGUUGGGAUGGCUACGUGCCAUUUCAGUGCCGCAGGGAAAGCCAUUAAGCUCGCCGCCUGGGGAGUACGGCCGCAAGGCUGAAA